rnacentral:misc_RNA from 1 species
GAUGAAGAACGCAGCGAAAUGCGAUAAGUAAUGUGAAUUGCAGAAUUCAGUGAAUCAUCGAAUCUUUGAACGCACAUUGCGCCCGCCAGUAUUCUGUCGGGCAUGCCUGUCCGAGCGUCAUUUCAACCCUCGAACCCCUCCGGGGGGUCGGCGUUGGGGAUCGGCCCUCCCUUAGCGGGUGGCCGUCUCCGAAAUACAGUGGCGGUCUCGCCGCAGCCUCUCCUGCGCAGUAGUUUGCACACUCGCAUCGGGAGCGCGGCGCGUCCACAGCCGUUAAACACCCAACUUCUGAAAUGUUGACCUCGGAUCAGGUAGGAAUACCCGCUGAACUUAAGCAUAUCAAUAAGCGGAGGA